rnacentral:rRNA from 1 species
GAUGAACGCUGGCGGCGUGCCUAAUACAUGCAAGUCGAGCGAACAGACGAGGAGCUUGCUCCUCUGACGUUAGCGGCGGACGGGUGAGUAACACGUGGAUAGCCUACCUAUAAGACUGGGAUAACUUCGGGAAACCGGAGCUAAUACCGGAUAAUAUGUUGAAUCGCAUGGUUCAACAGUGAAAGACGGUCUUGCUGUCACUUAUAGAUGGAUCCGCGCCGCAUUAGCUAGUUGGUAAGGUAACGGCUUACCAAGGCAACGAUGCGUAGCCGACCUGAGAGGGUGAUCGGCCACACUGGAACUGAGACACGGUCCAGACUCCUACGGGAGGCAGCAGUAGGGAAUCUUCCGCAAUGGGCGAAAGCCUGACGGAGCAACGCCGCGUGAGUGAAGAAGGUCUUCGGAUCGUAAAACUCUGUUAUUAGGGAAGAACAAAUGUGUAAGUAACUAUGCACGUCUUGACGGUACCUAAUCAGAAAGCCACGGCUAACUACGUG